UCCACCGAGAGAGACAGGAAAACAAACUACAGCAAAGUCAUCUAAACAAAGGAAGUAAUUUCUUCAAGGAAAAGUUGUGUUACUGCCUCACCUUAUACGAGAACACAAGGAAGCAACCAGAGGGUUCUUUUGAAGAUCCUGACCUGGAAUUUCAUGCUGACUUCAGUUUUUUGCGGGAAUGGGACAUGCUCUCAGGGUCUCACGGCUUUCAAUAUACCAAGGACGCAGCCUAGAAGAUUAAUGUACCUUCGGAGUUCCGGGAUUUCGUGGUUCUGGAGGCAGGCGGACUCGAGCACUGACAGCCUCAUCAAACCACUCCCUCAAAAGCAAAAACAGGAAAUCUGGAAUGAAAACAGGGGACAUUGGACAUACUCAGCAGGCCAGGCAGCAUCAACGGAGAGAGAAACAGAAUCACUGCAGUGGAGCCACAUGAGACUGUCGAUGUUGGAACUUGGAGCAACAAACAAGCUGGUGGAGGAACUCAGCAGUCAAGCAGCAUCUGUGGGAGGAAAGGAAUUGUCAGAGCCCUGCAUCAG